CGGGGUGUGGCGCAGUCUGGCAGCGCGCCAGUCUGGGGGACUGGAGGUCCCGGGUUCAAAUCCCGGCUCCCCGACCA
rnacentral:tRNA from 2 species